GAUGAACGCUGGCGGCGUGCCUAAUACAUGCAAGUCGAGCGAACAGACUAGGCUCUUGCUCCUUCGACGUUUGCGGCGGACGUGUGUGUCACAUGUAGGUACCCUACCUUUCUUUCUGGUAUCACUUCGGGAAACCGGCUCUUACCCCGUAUUAUCUUUCGCUCCGCAUGGUUCGAUAGUAAAAGAUUGCUUUGCUAUCACUUAUAGAUGCACCUUCGCCGUAUUUGCUAGUUGGUAAGGUCACGGCUUACCAAGGCAACUAUCCGUAGCCGACCUGAGAGGGUGAACGGCGACACUGGAACUGAGACACGGUCAAGAGGCCUACGGGAGGAAGCAGAAGGGAAUCGGCGGAAAUGGGGGAAAGCCUGACGGAGCAACGCCGCGUGAGUGAUGAAGGGCUUGGGAUCGUAAAAAUCUGUUAUGAGGGAAGAACAAAUGUGGAAGUAACUGUGCACGUCGUGACGGUACCGAAUCAGAAAGCCACGGCUAACUACGUG
rnacentral:rRNA from 1 species